rnacentral:rRNA from 1 species
ACUCAAAUGAAUAGACGGGGGCCCGCACAAGCGGUGGAGCAUGUGGAUUAAUACGUCACUAACCGUAGAACCUUACCCAGGCUUGACAUCUGCGGAAGGGGCCUGAAAGGGCCUUGUGCCCCGCAAGGGGAACCGCAAGACAGGUGUUGCAUGGCUGUCGUCAGCUCGUGUCGUGAGAUGUUGGGUUAAGUCCCGCAACGAGCGCAACCCUCACCGCAUGUUGCCAGCGUCAAGACGGGCACUCUUGCGGAACUGCCCGGGCAACCGGGAGGAAGGUGGGGACGACGUCAAGUCAGCAUGGCCCGUACGCCUGGGGCUUCACACAUGCUACAAUGGCCGGUACAGAGGGUCCCGAGGCCGCGAGGCGGAGGCAAUCCCAGAAAGCCGGCCCCAGUUCGGAUCGCAGGCUGCAACUCGCCUGCGUGAAGGUGGAAUCGCUAGUAACCGCCGGUCAGCUAAACGGCGGUGAAUCCGUUCCCGGGCCUUGUACACACCGCCCGU